UUUGAAGUUUUUAUAAGUUUU
rnacentral:piRNA from 1 species